GAUGAACGCUAGCUACAGGCUUAACACAUGCAAGUCGAGGGGAAACGACAUCGAAAGCUUGCUUUUGAUGGGCGUCGACCGGCGCACGGGUGAGUAACGCGUAUCCAACCUGUCCAUCACUUGGGAAUAACCUUGCGAAAGUAAGACUAAUACCCAAUGACAUCCCACGAAGACAUCUGAAUGGGAUUAAAGAUUUAUCGGUGAUGGAUGGGGAUGCGUCUGAUUAGCUUGUUGGCGGGGUAACGGCCCACCAAGGCAACGAUCAGUAGGGGUUCUGAGAGGAAGGUCCCCCACAUUGGAACUGAGACACGGUCCAAACUCCUACGGGAGGCAGCAGUGAGGAAUAUUGGUCAAUGGGCGAGAGCCUGAACCAGCCAAGUAGCGUGCAGGAUGACGGCCCUAUAGGUUGUAAACUGCUUUUAUAAGGGAAUAAAGUGGGUCUCGUGAGACUUUUUGCAUGUACCUUAUGAAUAAGGACCGGCUAAUUCCGUG
rnacentral:rRNA from 1 species